AGAGUUUGAUCAUGGCUCAGAGCGAACGCUGGCGGCAGGCUUAACACAUGCAAGUCGAGCGCUGUAGCAAUACAGAGCGGCAGACGGGAGAGUAACACGUGGGAACGUACCCUUCGGUUCGGAAUAACUCAGGGAAACUUGAGCUAAUACCGGAUACGUCCGCAAGGAGAAAGAUUUAUUGCCGAGGGAUCGGCCCGCGU
rnacentral:rRNA from 1 species